GAAUUGCGAAAAGUAAUGUGAAUUGCAUAUACCGUGAAUCAUCAAAUCUUUGAAUGCACCUUGCACUAUUGUGAAUUCACGAUAGUACGUCUGUUUGAGUAUCAAUUAACCCCAUCAUCCAUUGUGAUGUUUGUGGACGAACGAGUGGCACCAGUCACCGUCGUCUCGAGUGAAUGUUCAACAACUGUUGGAAAGUCAGAUCAGCAAUGACCAUAUUGACUCUCACCCGGCACGUUGUUACAACAUUUAACUUGAUCUCAAAUCAGAUGAGGAUACCCGCUGAACUUAA
rnacentral:misc_RNA from 1 species